GGAAACUCCUGGGACCGCUAAUCGGAGAGGGUGCGGAAACGCUGGAGGAGAACUCAGGUAAUGGCGCCAGCGAAAGAAGCCUGCGGAUACGGAGAAACUGCAUCUUCGCGUGACUUUGGGCGCUGUUCCUCGCGGUAGUGGCAAGGCCUUCUGGGAGUUGUAGUUCUACGGGAGGCUUGUUUUCCCCAUUGUCCAGUUUGAUUCCGAGAGCGUUCUUUCCAGUUAAUUAAUUAUUCAUAUAUGCAAAUUUGCUCUUUCACUGGCAAGGAGACUGAGUUUCUACUCCCCGAGGACCCAUAAGGCCGGUUUCUUUUCCUCUCUCUGUUGUGAUGGCUUUCAUUUGUUUCAAAAAUGCUUUCUUGUAGACAGGAUGGAUAUUAUCUGUAAGUUAGGCGGUUCAAUCUACCCUCUAGGGGCAGUCAAUUGCCUAACCAGACAUUCACAUUUCAGCUCUGGUCAGCGAGCACUUAAUCAGAAAGUCCACCCUCUGGAGGCAGCUAUUACAAGUGCUUCGUCUCUCUUUAUCGCCCAUCAGCACCAGCGGUUUGGCUAAUUGACAUAAUGAAAUGUUAGAAAUAGAUUCUCAUUGGUGAGAUUAACAGCAUUCAAGAUAAUGCGGAUUGGCUGGGAUAUGUCAGACACUCUCCUAGCUUGCAUGAACAGGAUAUUGAGAAUGUAGCAAGCCUUGGUACCUAUAG
rnacentral:lncRNA from 10 species